rnacentral:rRNA from 1 species
AGAGUUUGAUCCUGGCUCAGGAUGAACGCUAGCUACAGGCUUAACACAUGCAAGUCGAGGGGAAACGAUAUUGGAAGCUUGCUUCCGAUAGGCGUCGACCGGCGCACGGGUGAGUAACGCGUAUCCAACCUGCCCACCACUUGGGGAUAACCUUGCGAAAGUAAGACUAAUACCCAAUGAUAUCUCUAGAAGACAUCUGAAAGAGAUUAAAGAUUUAUCGGUGAUGGAUGGGGAUGCGUCUGAUUAGCUUGUUGGCGGGGUAACGGCCCACCAAGGCAACGAUCAGUAGGGGUUCUGAGAGGAAGGUCCCCCACAUUGGAACUGAGACACGGUCCAAACUCCUACGGGAGGCAGCAGUGAGGAAUAUUGGUCAAUGGACGAGAGUCUGAACCAGCCAAGUAGCGUGCAGGAAGACGGCCCUAUGGGUUGUAAACUGCUUUUAUAAGGGAAUAAAGUGAGUCUCGUGAGACUUUUUGCAUGUACCUUAUGAAUAAGGACCGGCUAAUUCCGUGCCAGCAGCCGCGGUAAUACGGAAGGUCCGGGCGUUAUCCGGAUUUAUUGGGUUUAAAGGGAGCGUAGGCCGGAGAUUAAGCGUGUUGUGAAAUGUAGAUGCUCAACAUCUGAACUGCAGCGCGAACUGGUUUCCUUGAGUACGCACAAAGUGGGCGGAAUUCGUGGUGUAGCGGUGAAAUGCUUAGAUAUCACGAAGAACUCCGAUUGCGAAGGCAGCUCACUGGAGCGCAACUGACGCUGAAGCUCGAAAGUGCGGGUAUCGAACAGGAUUAGAUACCCUGGUAGUCCGCACGGUAAACGAUGGAUGCCCGCUGUUGGUCUGAAUAGGUCAGCGGCCAAGCGAAAGCAUUAAGCAUCCCACCUGGGGAGUACGCCGGCAACGGUGAAACUCAAAGGAAUUGACGGGGGC